GGUUUUGACAAUGAGGAUAUAAAAGCUCCCUCUUCUGAAAUUGUAGUUGAGGAACGUUGCUGGCAGAAUCGAACCAUAAAAACCUUUUGCCAUCACUGAGUUA